GAAGGUGGUGGGCAACUGGCUGACCCGGUUUCUAAACCAUAGUCGAGACAUGGGUUCCUUCAACCGGACUUCGCCGGAUGGCAACCGGAGUUGAUUGAUGCGUUCAUCCAAUCGCUCCGUCGGGAGUUAAUUCUUCGAAACCUCGCACACCAUGGAGCAAUUUUGUUUACACCGAAUCGAGUUGCGGAGGGUUUCAGCAUAAUACAAUAAUCUCGGAAGCUUUGAAGAACUAAAAAGUAUUCCCGUGUCCAGGGAACGUCGCAUGGGCUGAACUGGAGGCUUUAGCUUUGCGUGGAUGCUAUGUUGCUUGUAUGGAGACGUCCCAGUGCCAUCCAACAACUCUUAUGCAUUUUGUUGCACUGUGCAACAGAGCAGAACGGAGGUAUUGUAGACAUUCAGGAGGACGAGGAACUCACUGUGUGCUUCUUCUAUUACUGGCAUUGGAGCUUCUCUGUGUUGAGUGGCGAUCUGGAAAUUGAGUUGGAGAUUUGCAAGCCAUGGAGGUGAGCAUGGAGCUACACGCGGUGAACAGGAAAAAAUUGCUAUCAAGGAUGAGUGACCAGGUCAAAUCGAUGGGUCAACCUGUGAAUGGUGUGAUCCUGCUCCAAGGAGGCGACGAGUGCACACGUUACUGCACUGACCACACUCCCCUGUUCAGACAGGAGAGUUACUUCGCCUACUUGUUUGGUGUGAAAGAGCCUGGUUUCUUUGGAACCCUGGAUUUGUCCAACGGGAAAUCAGCCUUGUAUUGUCCACGACUUGACCCCGAGUACGCCGUGUGGCUUGGGGAAAUUCAACCUCCCUCACAUUUCAAAGACCUAUAUGGUGUAGACGAGGUGCACUACGUCGACGAGCUUGUUGAGGUUUUAAACAAAUCCCGAGCUGGGGUUUCCAGUUGGCUGCUUUACCUUCUAUAUGGGAAAAACAGUGACAGUGGUAAUUUCUCCCAACCUGCUCAAUUCGAGGGUAUCGAGGACUUUGCUGUUGAUAAGGAGGUACUGCAUCCCGUGUUGAGCGAAUGCCGCGUGCACAAAUCUAAACUUGAAAUUGAUUUGAUGCGCUACGUUUGUAAGGUCAGUUCGGCAGCCCACAUCCAAGUGAUGCAGGAAUGUAAACCAGGCAUGCGAGAGUACCAGCUUGAAGCUAUCUUUCUGCACCAUGUGUAUCGUUAUGGAGGAUGUCGUCAUUGCUCUUACACUUGUAUUUGUGCCACUGGGACCAACAGCUCCGUUCUUCAUUAUGGCCAUGCUGCAGCACCCAAUGACAGGCUUCUGGAAAACGGCGACAUGGCACUGCUUGACAUGGGUGCCGAGUAUCACUUUUAUGGUUCGGAUAUCACCUGCUCCUUCCCAGUGAAUGGAACUUUUACCGACAAUCAGAAGGUUGUGUAUACUGCGGUUCUAAAGGCACAAAACGCCGUCAUACGUGCAAUCAGGCCAGGAGUGAGCUGGGUGGAUCUUCACAAAUUGGCCGAGUCUUGCAUCCUUGAGACUCUGAAAGAGAACGGAGUGCUUCAAGGGGAUGUACAAGCAAUGAUGGAGAGCCGACUGGGUGCUAUAUUUAUGCCCCAUGGGCUUGGUCAUUUCCUGGGGCUUGAUACUCAUGACACAGGUGGCUAUCCUGCAGGAACAGAACGGAUCAACUCACCAGGCCUGAAGUCCUUGCGAACAGUUCGAAUCCUGGAGGAGGGUAUGGUGGUUACUGUUGAACCUGGGUGCUAUUUCAUUGAAGCACUCCUGGUCCCUGCCUUGGAGGACCCUGCCCAGCGCAAUUUCUUCGUGGAGCCGGCGCUUGAAGUGUUCCGUCACACUGGCGGUGUGAGGCUGGAAGAUGAUAUUCUGGUCACUGCCAAUGGGUGUGAAAAUCUCACCAUUUGUCCCCGUGAAAUUGAGGAUGUUGAGGCUGUCAUGAAAGGAAGUUGGCCAAUGUAAUUGCCUGAGAUUCCGGAUUGAGGAACGGCAGAUGUCUAUAUCUCCAGGCAAGACAACUGGGUCGUGAAGGAGGUGAACAACUUGGGGCUUCUCGAGCAAACAGUCUGCUACUCCAUGUUCAAAGUAUUAUAGGAUCUGUGACAAACUCAUGCUUUGAGACAAUCUGUCUGUUUUACGACAGCCAGUGACUCAGUAGCUUCCUAGUACGACUAUGACAACGAGGCCUUGGCUGCUAUCUGGUAUACCAUCUGUACUAGAUACAAUUUUCUAUCUCUAUGAUUACCCACUUGGAUGUGAACGAUGGACAUUGGAGCUUUAGGUGAGCGAUACAGAAAAAAAUUACUCCUCCGAAUGUUUGGAAUGUUCUAUGAUGGGCAUUUUUUGUGACUCAGGAACUGUAGUACAUGUGGAAAUGGAUUGUCAUAGCCCAGAUGGUGCUAGCUUUAUCUGGAACGACCAUUGCAAAAAAGUGAGCAAGUUCAUAGGAAAGAGCUGAAUUGAGUAAAAUUCUGGACCAUGAUCACAUUAUUGAGCAACAGAGAGAAAGGCAGCAUCUUCUUUUUGAUGUGGCAGGGUAGGUUGGAAGUCAUAUUUAAUUAAGCCUGGUACUGUCAUGUGGUCAUGGGUUUCUUCUCUAGCCAGGUACGAGUUUGUACUCAACUUUGCCACCCCCAACUGACUUUGUUGAGAACCAAGUAUAUAUUCAAACCUACCUGACUUAAAUACUUGUUUUUAAAGGGUAUUUCCAGUCGGUUUUAGAUGAUGCACUGGUUAGCAAUUUGCUGGUAAUUAAAUGAAGAAUUCUGAAAGCCGCAAACAAGUAACACAGGAUGCUAGCUGGUAGAGUAACUGUGUUGCGUUGGGUGUUGCUACAGUAAAAUAGGUUUUAUAUCUGACAUCAGGUUGUUUUGUAGGUGUCUUUUCUUAGGUGUGCAUCAUCGUUACCUGUGGAGGAGGCACUUCUAGUUUGGAAACAAUUCUUAGAAACCCGGAAUCGUUGUGGAGGGAGCCGCUGAUGUAUAGACCUUCACGACUGAUUAUCAAGGACUUGUGUAUUAGAGUCACUUCCAAGUACCUCACCAGACAGACAGCAGGGUACCUCGUGUAUUGGAAAGUGAUCUCUGGCCACGAGUCACAACAAUCCAACAGACAACCUCGAACUUACAGCUUCAAAUAGUGGCUUGUGAUCCAACGACUAAAGCCACCCCCCCGUGUUCAUGCAGUAAAUGUUGUUAUAAUUCUAAGGGGUCCUUUUUUUUUUAAGUAUGAGAUGGACCCCAUAUUUCUACGUUUCUCUCAUUUAGUUUCUUGUUAGGAUUCUUUUUUUCUUCUUCUGAACGAUAAAUGAUUAAAUGUUGGAAACGAUAUUUUCAUUUCUUGGAAUGAAGAUCUAUCAUUAUUACAGUUUCUUGUUUA